rnacentral:rRNA from 1 species
UUGCACGCUGGCGGAAUGCUUUACACAUGCAAGUCGAACGGCAGCACGGGGGCAACCCUGGUGGCGAGUGGCGAACGGGUGAGUAAUACAUCGGAACGUGCCCGGUCGUGGGGGAUAACGUAGCGAAAGUUACGCUAAUACCGCAUACGAUCUGAGGAUGAAAGCGGGGGACCUUCGGGCCUCGCGCGAUCGGAGCGGCCGAUGUCAGAUUAGGUAGUUGGUGGGGUAAAGGCCUACCAAGCCGACGAUCUGUAGCUGGUCUGAGAGGACGACCAGCCACACUGGGACUGAGACACGGCCCAGACUCCUACGGGAGGCAGCAGUGGGGAAUUUUGGACAAUGGGCGCAAGCCUGAUCCAGCCAUUCCGCGUGCAGGACGAAGGCCUUCGGGUUGUAAACUGCUUUUGUAUGGAACGAAAAGGCUCUGGCUAAUACCUGGGGCUCAUGACGGUACCGUAAGAAUAAACACCGGCUAACUACGU